rnacentral:rRNA from 1 species
AGUGGAUGGGGAGCAACCUAGUUGUGCGUGUGUAAAGGUAGUGCCAAGAAAAGCGGUGAUCAUGAUGAAAAUCAAUUCCCGGUACCCGAAACCGACACAGGUGGGCAAGUAGAGAAUACUAAGGGGCGCGAGGUAACUCUCUCCAAGGAACUCGGCAAAAUGACCCCGUAACUUAGGGAGAAGGGGUGCCACCGAGAGGUGGUCGCAGUGAAGAGGCCCAGGCGACUGUUUAGCAAAAACAUAGGUCUCUGCAAACUCGAAAGAGGAGGUAUAGGGGCUGACGCCUGCCCAGUGCCGGAAGGUUAAAGAAGUUGGUCAGUCUUAGGAUGAAGCUAGCGACUGAAGCCCCGGUGAACGGCGGCCGUAACUAUAACGGUCCUAAGGUAGCGAAAUUCCUUGUCGGGUAAGUUCCGACCCGCACGAAAGGCGUAACGAUCUGGGCGCUGUCUCGGAGAGAGGCUCGGCGAAAUAGGAUUGUCUGUGAAGAUACGGACUACCUGCAUUUGGACAGAAAGACCCUAUGAAGCUUUACUAUAGCUUGGAAUUGUGUUCGGGCUUCCUGUGCGCAGGAUAGGUGGGAGGCGUAGAAGGUAUUCUUGUGGGGAUACUGGAGCCAACGGUGAGAUACCACUCUCGGGAGGCUAGAAUUCUAACUUAAUCAAGGACAGUUUCAGGUGGGUAGUUUGACUGGGGCGGUCGCCUCCAAAAAGGUAACGGAGGCGUACAAAGGUUCCCUCAGACUGGUUGGAAAUCAGUCGAAGAGUGCAAAGGCAGAAGGGAGCUUGACUGCGAGAAGUACAGUUCGAGCAGGGUGGAAACACGGUCUUAGUGAUCCGACGGUGCUGUGUGGAAGGGCCGUCGCUCAACGGAUAAAAGUUACUCUAGGAUAACAGGCUGAUCUCCCCCAAGAGUUCACAUCGACGGGGAGGUUUGGCACCUCGAUGUCGGCUCAUCGCAACCUGGGGCGGAAGUACGUCCCAAGGGUUGGGCUGUUCGCCCAUUAAAGCGGUACGUGAGCUGGGUUCAGAACGUCGUGAGACAGUUCGGUCCAUAUCCGAUGUAGGCGUGAGAAUAUUGAGAGGAGCCUUCCUUAGUACGAGAGGACCGGGAAGGACGCACCGCUGGUGUACCUGUUAUGAUGCCAAUUGUAAACGCAGGGUAGCCAAGUGCGGAGAGGAUAACCGCUGAAAGCAUCUAAGUGGGAAGCCCACCUCAAGAUGAGUAUUCUGGUGUAAGGUCACGGGAAGACGACCCGUAAAUAGGCACGAGGUGGAAGUGCAGAGAUGUAUGAAGCCGAAGUGUACUAAUAGACCGUCGGCUUGACC